UUAGAUCAUAUACAUUGCAUUCAUAUAGUAAUUUAUCGAAUUCUUACAUUCAUUAUCAUUUCUUUCUUACAACACAUUUACCUCAAAAUAAGCUUUACAUUCUUUCUUUAUAUCACUAAUCAUCAAAUACAAAAGAUGAUCAUAAGGUACUUUACUACAAAAUGAAACCCAACAUUGGUGGCCUCUGACUAAGGCGCGAUACCUUUACCUCGGUCGCUCGCCGGCUCGCU
rnacentral:lncRNA from 1 species